AAAGGAAUUGACGGGGGCCCGCACAAGCGGAGGAACAUGUGGUUUAAUUCGAUGAUACGCGAGGAACCUUACCUGGGCUUAAAUGUAGCAUGACCGUAUCCGAAAGGGUAUUUCCAAGCAAUUGGCAGGUUACAAGGUGCUGCAUGGCUGUCGUCAGCUCGUGCCGUGAGGUGUCGGGUUAAGUCCCAUAACGAGCGCAACCCCUAUUGUUAGUUGCCAGCGGGUAAUGCCGGGAACUCUAACGAGACUGCCACCGUAAGGUGAGAGGAAGGUGGGGAUGACGUCAAGUCAGCACGGCCCUUAUGUCCAGGGCUACACACGUGUUACAAUGGUCAGUACAAAGGGCUGCUACCUGGUGACAGGAUGCAAAUCUCAAAAACUGAUCCCAGUUCGGAUCGAAGUCUGCAACUCGACUUCGUGAAGUUGGAUUCGCUAGUAAUCGUAUAUCAGCAAUGAUACGGUGAAUACGUUCCCGGGCCUUGUACACACCGCCCGU
rnacentral:rRNA from 1 species